GACGAACGCUGGCGGCGUGCCUAACACAUGCAAGUCGAACGGAAAGUCCUGUUUCGGUGGCUCACCGAUUGGUGAACGGGUGAGUCAUACCCUAGUAACCUGCCUAUGUCCCUGGGAUAACUUCUGGAAACUGGGACUAUCAUCGGACAGAAGCUUCUGCUCCUUGGUGUGGGCCGGAAAGUUUUGGUGGUUGGGGUUGGAAUCGCGGCUGCUCAGCCUGUUAGCGGGGUAGUGGCUUACCGAGGCUUUGACGGGUAGCCGGCCUGAGAGGGUGACCGGCCACAUUGGGACUGAGAUACAGCCCAGACUCCUACGGGAGGCAGCAGUGGGGAAUAGUGCACAAGGGGUAGAAGCCUGAUGCAGCAACGCCGUGUGCGGGGUGACGGCCUUCGGGUUGUAAACCGCAUUCGCUCAUGACGGAGCUGUGAGUGACGGUAGUGGGUAAAGAAGCACCGGCUAACUACGUG
rnacentral:rRNA from 1 species